AGAGAAGUGCAAGUAUGUGAUAUCCAGAAUGCCUGUUCUCCGUCUCUACCUGGGAAGGCUUAUCAGGCAGAUGUGAUGAAAAGAAAAAG
rnacentral:lncRNA from 1 species